rnacentral:tRNA from 1 species
UCGGGGGUCGUCUAAUUGGUAGGACAGCGGUUUCUGGGACCGUAAGUCGGGGUUCGAGUCCCUGCCCCCGAG